ACAACACGAGUUUUUUCAUACUCAAAAUCAAUUGAUAAUUGUUAGAAAGACUCGUCACUCGUACAUAUGUUCAAGUUCUAAUAACACGCUUGAAUAAUGAAUACAUACAUAUUUCAAAGAGUUUUAUGAACUGCAGAAGCACUUCCUGCAAAAGCACAGACAAAGAUGCCAAGAAAUGUACAAGACUGGAUUAGAAUACAAUUAUCAUUGCUAAACAUAUAGUUUUAGUGGAUGCAUUGUGGUUCUCAUUAUAAACCUCCACUAUACUUGCCUUUCCACAUAAUUGAGACUUAAUUUAAGCAAAAGCUCUAUGUGGGUAGCUUUCACUCACCAUGAUUACAUCCCCCAAAAGCCACUGCAACAUCUCAGAAAUCCAGCAAUUCCUCCAAACCAAAAACCGUGUAAAAGGAAGAACUUUCACCGAAAAGUGUAAGAGCAGUUACGAAUUUCUUGACUUUUAGAAAAUAAAAAACCAAACACUCAUUAAAAGCAUUGGUUUCAAAGUCAUCACUAACCCCCUUUGUUCCUGCAUGGAUUCAUGUGACUUUCUCCUCACUCCAGCACUCCCUUCAGGCCCUUAAAACCAAU
rnacentral:lncRNA from 1 species